UGUGGCAUCUGUGAAGAGCAGGGCGACUGCUGUGGAGUCCCAGGAUUUACACUGGUAUUUGCAGACCUUGGCCGGACACCGAGGACUUGGUGAAGGAGGCCGUUCCGCUGGCAAGCCUUUGCCCAUAACCAGAGGCGGUGAGUGGCCUGGGGGAAUUUCCACUCAUGGCUGCAGCUGCCGCUUUCUGGGUAACUCAUGGUACGUGUGGGCAGGGAAGAGCUCAAAAAAUGAGUUGCCUGGAGCCAACUCAUUCUGCAACUUGCUCCGCAGCAGAUGACAGCCUGCCGGUCUCCCCAAGUUGUUAACCCCUUAUAAUGAAGAUGAUGCUGUUUUCUUCCUGGUGCUGAUUCAACAGAAAGAGCACUGAACUUGGAAUCAGAAGGCCCAGGCUUACAGAACAGCCUCCAAACUAAAGACUUACAUAUUCUCCAAGAGGCCACCCCAGCUCUCCCAGCCUCAGUUUCUCUCAUUCAUAAAAUAAAAGCCUUGGUUGUCCUCUUUA